GGGAAGGUGGCUCAGCGGUAGAGCGCUUGCCUUGCAUGCAUGAGGCCCUGGGUUCGAUUCCUCAGUAUUCUGA
rnacentral:tRNA from 1 species